GACGUAGGGCGCGAGCGUUGUCCGGAUUUAUUGGGCGUAAAGAGCGUGUAGGCGGCCAGGUAGGUCAGCUGUGAAAACUCGAGGCUCAACCUCGAGACGUCGGUUGAAACCAUCUGGCUAGAGUCCGGAAGAGGAGAGUGGAAUUCCUGGUGUAGCGGUGAAAUGCGCAGAUAUCAGGAAGAACACCCGUGGCGAAGGCGGCUCUCUGGGACGGUACUGACGCUGAGACGCGAAAGCGUGGGGAGCGAACAGG
rnacentral:rRNA from 1 species